CAACCGAAAAAGGAUGAACUUAAUAAGGGUGGAAACGAGCCGAGCUCGAGCGAGCUUAUGUCAUCUCAAAUUCGGCUUGAAAUUAAUUUCGAGCCUAAAUUUAGGCUUAAGCUCGGCUUGAAAUUAAUUCGAGCCGAGCUCGAGCGAGCCUAAUUUCGAGUCGAGCCGAGCUCGUGUCACGCCCCGGGGCCGAUUUUAAAAGCCAUUUUGAAAACAGAGUUGCGGAAAACGUGCCAUUUCUUUUUCUUUUUUUCUUUUUUUUUUUAACCUGGCCCACGCGACGUACAGACCCGCUAUAAAUACAAAGUUCCUCUGUCCACUCGGACAGAGUCUCCUUUGUAUUUGCACGGCGUACCAACGAUACAACAGGAUCACAACCACAACCUACAUUUACCAAUCAACAACCAAGGCAUGAUAUGCAAUCCCAUACAGCUAACAAUCCUUAGAAUGAUGCAUGUCUCUAAGCAUUCCUUAGGCGCUGGAUGAUGCAAUGCACAAUACAACAAACAUCCUAUUUAAAAGUGC
rnacentral:lncRNA from 1 species